AAGGGGCUGGUUAAAUUAAUAACAUAAGUUUGUCAAGCUUAGGUUGCCUAUUAGGCGCCCCUUU
rnacentral:tRNA from 1 species